rnacentral:rRNA from 1 species
CCACAAUGGACGAAAGUCUGAUGGAGCGACGCCGCGUGCGGGGAUGAAGGGCCUUAUGGGUUGUAAACCGCUGUCAGGGGGAAGAACAUCGGAAUGAACAAUACUCAUUCCGACUGACGUUACCCCCGAGAGGAAGCUCCGGCCAACUCCGUGCCAGCAGCCGCGGUAAUACGGGGGGAGCAAGCGUUGUACCGGAAUUAUUGGGGCGUAAAGGGCGUGUAGGCGGCGAGGUUAAGUCGAAUGUGAAAUC